CUGUACUGGGACACCACCGUUCUUACCGCUGUCCCUGUGAUUCAGCCUGACAUUAGCAUAAAAGGCAGAGUUUAAAAAACGGCCUGGGUUGGAAACGUCCCUGUCAUAGCCAGCUGGCCUGGUUUUGAAGAUUUCAGGCACCUCAUGCAGCACCACUACUUCAGGCAUUUGGCCCAGCCGCAGGUUCUGUGAGGCAUUUAGCAGCGAUGACUCAAGGAACAGGCAGAGUCUCCACUUUUCUGAAAAUUAUUGCUACAAGAUAAGUUCAGAAAUCGCAUGAUGCCACAUUAUAGUGCAAAAGGUUUAUCUGAAAUCACAAGCUUUCAAAGUGCUGCUCCUUCGUCGGUAUUAUGGUACAUAUUGUCACCAGAUGACACCCAAACAUACUGGUUAAGGUUGACUUCUGUACAAAUAUGAACUGGGACACAGUGCUAUAAUAAUAAGGAAGACUGGUGAUACCCUGAAUAACAUGAAGCUGAUAAACAAGCCCUUUUGAACAUAAGGAACAGGUGGUCGAAGCCACACACUUCUACCACUGUGAAAGCUGUUUGAACAAAAAAAACAUGUUGUAAAGGAAGGCGCGAUAUAAAGGGGAUGUUUUGUGUGGUUUCUGUGUUUGUAAAGGAGGCAGAAGGUUUUUUUUGUUUCAUGUUUGAUACAUUUAGAUGUUUCAUUAAAGGAAAAUACUGUAUAAAUAAAAUAUGUACACAAAUUAAUAUCACAAUGUCCUCUGUCGCUACAAUGUGGUUCAUGUUCCUACUCAUUAAUUUGGCAAAAAGAACUUGGGUAGAAAUGUUGCCAGUUUGCUACAAAUUGCUAAUGGUGUAUUUAUAUGUAUUUAGGGCAUGAGAUCCAUAAUUUUUUGAAAAAUAGAUUGUUGACAACUAAUAAAUGCAAAGUGCAUUUUCUACCUGGCAAGGUGAAAAUCAUCUCCCAGAUCAGAUGCUGAGAUUUAUGAAAGGUUUCAGAGAGUGGGAGGAGCAGUAUAAUGGCAGGCCAGGAUGAACAGGAGGAAUCCUGGAGGCACAAGUGUGACA